UCUGACAAGCUGGAUUUGGAACAAAAACUGAGGAGAAUCUUUAUUUUGGAUAUGUCUUUCAAAGACCUUCAUAUGCCUGGGAAGGAGGAUUUCAGCACUCAGAGGAGAAACUGCCAGACCAGAAGACAGAAACUCUUUUCCUGAUGGUCACUGGGAAAGAACACUGUCUUACAGAGAUGAUAACACUGUCUACAUACAAAGCAUCUUCCCUCCCCAAAACAGUUCAUGAGGCCCUCAUUUGAAAUCAAGAGAGCAAAAGGAAAUUGUACACCUCCCAGUGGAAAAUGUUGGUUCAAGACCUCUACACGAGAACAAAACUAUCCUGAAGACAGUCACUCCAAGUAUGUCAAACAUUGUCUAUCCAGUUGGUCUUCAGUGUAGCUGGAGGUGCUUGAACAAAACUAGAAGGCUUUGGAAUCUUUGGUGAAGAAGUAACUAAUAAUGACAGGAAAAUGCCAUGCUCAAA